CCCUUAGAUGUUCUGGGCCGCACGCGCGCUACACUGACGAAGUCAGCGAGCAUGUCCUACGCCGACAGGUGCGGGGAAUCUUGUCAAACUUCGUCGUGAUGGGGAUUGAUUAUUGAAAUCCUUGAUCAUCAACGAGGAAUUCCUAGUAAGCGCAAGUCAGCAGCUUGCGUUGAUUACGUCCCUGCCCUUUGUACACACCGCCCGUCGCUACUACCGAUUGAAUGGUUUAGUGAGAUCUUCGGAUUGGCGCCACUGCGGCUCAGCAAUGGGCUCGGUGGAUGCCGAAAAGUUGAUCAAACUUGAUCAUUUAGAGGAAGUAAAAGUCGUAACA
rnacentral:rRNA from 1 species